rnacentral:rRNA from 1 species
GACGAACCGUGCAAACGUUGUUCGGAUUCACUGGGCUUAAAGGGCGCGUAGGCGGGCGGUCGAGUCCGGGGUGAAAUCUUUCAGCUCAACUGGAAAAGUGCCUUGGAUACCGGCCGUCUCGAGGGAGGUAGGGGCAUGCGGAACUUCCGGUGGAGCGGUGAAAUGCGUAGAUAUCGGAAGGAACACCUGUGGCGAAAGCGGCUCACUGGACCAUAACUGACGCUGAUGCACGAAAGCGUGGGGAGCAAACAGG